rnacentral:rRNA from 1 species
GGGAGGGGAGUGAAAUAGAACCUGAAACCGUGUGCCUACAACAAGUUCGAGCCCGUUAAUGGGUGAGAGCGUGCCUUUUGUAGAAUGAACCGGCGAGUUACGAUAUGAUGCGAGGUUAAGUUGAAGAGACGGAGCCGUAGGGAAACCGAGUCUUAAUAGGGCGAUUUAGUAUCAUGUUGUAGACCCGAAACCAUGUGACCUACCCAUGAGCAGGUUGAAGGUGAGGUAAAACUCACUGGAGGACCGAACCAGGGCACGUUGAAAAGUGCUUGGAUGACUUGUGGGUAGCGGAGA